rfam:Salmo salar isolate Sally breed double haploid chromosome ssa21, whole genome shotgun sequence.
UGAAUUCACUACUGUAAGUCGCUCUGGAUAAGAGUGUCUACUAAAUGACUAAAA